GCGGGCGGCGUAAGCUGUUGAUUAUGUUAGGUUUGCCUUCGCCUGAUAUGAUUUAGGUUCCAGCGCCGCAAGGUGUAAGAGUUCGAGUCUCUUCGUCCGCACCA
rnacentral:tRNA from 1 species